rnacentral:rRNA from 1 species
CAGUCGAACGCUUCAGCAAUGAAGAGUGGCAGACGGGUGAGUAACGCGUGGGAACCUUCCCAGUGGUACGGAAUAGCCCAGGGAAACUUGGGGUAAUACCGUAUAAGCCCUUAGGGGGAAAGAUUUAUCGCCAUUGGAUGGGCCCGCGUCGGAUUAGCUUGUUGGUGAGGUAAAAGCUCACCAAGGCGACGAUCCGUAGCUGGUCUGAGAGGAUGAUCAGCCACACUGGGACUGAGACACGGCCCAGACUCCUACGGGAGGCAGCAGUGGGGAAUAUUGGACAAUGGGCGCAAGCCUGAUCCAGCCAUGCCGCGUGAGUGACGAAGGCCUUAGGGUUGUAAAGCUCUUUUGGCGGGGACGAUAAUGACGGUACCCGCAGAAUAAGCUCCGGCUAACUUCGUGCCAGCAGCCGCGGUAAUACGAAGGGAGCUAGCGUUGUUCGGAAUUACUGGGCGUAAAGCGCACGUAGGCGGACUUGUUAGUCAGGGGUGAAAUCCCGGGGCCCAACCUCGGAACUGCCUUUGAUACUGCAAGUCUGGAGUCCGGAAGAGGUGGGUGGAAUUCCUAGUGUAGAGGUGAAAUUCGUAGAUAUUAGGAAGAACACCGGUGGCGAAGGC